rnacentral:rRNA from 1 species
GCGCACCCUUCGGGGCGAGCGGCGGACGGGUUAGUAACGCGUGGGAACAUACCCUUUUCUAUGGAAUAGCCUUUGGAAACGAAGAGUAAUACCAUAUACGCCCUUCGGGGGAAAGAUUUAUCGGAGAAGGAUUGGCCCGCGUAAGAUUAGAUAGUUGGUGGGGUAAUGGCCUACCAAGUCUACGAUCUUUAGCUGGUUUUAGAGGAUGAUCAGCAACACUGGGACUGAGACACGGCCCAGACUCCUACGGGAGGCAGCAGUGGGGAAUCUUAGACAAUGGGCGCAAGCCUGAUCUAGCCAUGCCGCGUGUGUGAUGAAGGCCUUAGGGUCGUAAAGCACUUUCGCCAGAGAUGAUAAUGACAGUAUCUGGUAAAGAAACCCCGGCUAACUCCGUGCCAGCAGCCGCGGUAAUACGGAGGGGGUUAGCGUUGUUCGGAAUUACUGGGCGUAAAGCGUACGUAGGCGGAUCAGAAAGUAGGGGGUGAAAUCCCGAGGCUCAACCUCGGAACUGCCUCCUAAACUCCUGGUCUUGAGUUCGAGAGAGGUGAGUGGAAUUCCAAGUGUAGAGGUGAAAUUCGUAGAUAUUUGGAGGAACACCAGUGGCGAAGGCGGCU